CUUUAGUCAAUGUCAAUUCAUUUCUUCUUCUCUUUAGUCAGUGUCAAUUCAUUUCUUCUUCUCUUUAUCAGUGUCAAUUCAUUUCUUCUUCUCUUUAGUCAGUGUCAAUUCAUUUCUUCUUCUCUUUCGUCAGUGUCAAUUCAUUUCUUCUUCUCUUUCAUCAGUGUCAAUUCAUUUCUUCUUCUCUUUCGUCAGUGUCAAUUCAUUUCUUCUUCUCUUUCGUCAGUGUCAAUUCAUUUCUUCUUCUCUUUCGUCAGUGUCAAUUCAUUUCUUCUUCUCUUUAGUCACUGUCAAUUCAUUUCUUCUUCUCUUUCGUCAGUGUCAAUUCAUUUCUUCUUCUCUUUAGUCAGUGUCAAUUCAUUUCUUCUUCUCUUUAGUCAGUGUCAAUUCAUUUCUUCUUCUCUUUAGUCAGUGUCAAUUCAUUUCUUCUUCUCUUUAGUCAGUGUCAAUUCAUUUCUUCUUCUCUUUAGUCAGUGUCAAUUCAUUUCUUCUUCUCUUUAGUCAGUGUCAAUUCAUUUCUUCUUCUCUUUAGUCAGUGUCAAUUCAUUUCUUCUUCUCUUUACUCAAUGUCAAUUCAUUUCUUCUUCUCUUUCGUCAGUGUCAAUUCAUUUCUUCUUCUCUUUAGUCAGUGUCAAUUCAUUUCUUCUUCUCUUUAGUCAGUGUUAAUUCAUUUCUUCUUCUCUUUAGUCAGUGUCAAUUCAUUUCUUCUUCUCUUUCGUCAGUGUCAAUUCAACCUCAUUGUUCAUUCCUCUUUAUGCUCCAUGUGUGAGUGAAAGUGAAACGUCUUCCUGAGUGUGUGUGGGUGUUUACAAGUGGGUCCUCCCUACCGGUGUCCUCUGUCACUAAAAUGUCACAGAAAACUGAGCCUCAACCAACCAUUCUUGACACAGUAAAGACCCUCAGUCUACCUCUGUACAUUACCAAACAGAAAAUAACCUCAGUCUACCUCUGUACAUUACCAAACAGGAAAGAACCCCAGUCUACCUCUGUACAUUACCAAACAGGAAAGAACCUCAGUCUACCUCUGUACAUUACCAAACAGGAAAUAACCUCAGUCUACCUCUGUACAUUACCAAACAGGAAAGAACCCCAGUCUACCUCUGUACAUUACCAAACAGGAAAGAACCCCAGUCUACCUCUGUACGUUACCAAACAGGAAAGAACCCCAGUCUACCUCUGUACAUUACCAAACAGGAAAGAACCCCAGUCUACCU
ensembl:lncRNA